CUUCGGGUGAUUUUUAGAGCGGAAAGUGGCGAAAGGGUGAAUAACGCAUGGGUAAUCUACCUUUAAGUGUAGAAUAACCUCGUGAAAACGGGGCUAAUACUGCAUAAGACCACAGUUACAUAAGUAACAGAGGUCAAAGGGGGCCUCUACUUGUAAGCUCUUGCUUAGAGAUGAGCCCAUGUCCUAUUAGCUUGUUGGUAAGGUAAUGGCUUACCAAGGCUCUGAUGGGUAGCCGGCUUGAGAGAGUGACCGGCCACACUGGGACUGAGACACUGCCCAGACUCCUACGGGAGGCUGCAGUCGAGAAUCUUUCGCAAUGGACGAAAGUCUGACGAAGCGAUGCCGCGUGAGCGAUUAAGGUCUUCGGAUCGUAAAGCUCUGUCACAAGGGAAGAAAUGCAUAUUGGUUAAUAUCCUUUAUGUUUGACGGUACCUUGAGAGAAGCCCCGCUAACU
rnacentral:rRNA from 1 species